rnacentral:rRNA from 1 species
UACGAAGGGGGCUAGCGUUGUUCGGAAUUACUGGGCGUAAAGCGCACGUAGGCGGACUACUAAGUCAGGGGUGAAAUCCCGGGGCUCAACCCCGGAACUGCCUUUGAUACUAAUAGUCUCGAGUCCGGAAGAGGUGAGUGGAAUUCCGAGUGUAGAGGUGAAAUUCGUAGAUAUUCGGAGGAACACCAGUGGCGAAGGCGGCUCACUGGUCCGGUACUGACGCUGAGGUGCGAAAGCGUGGGGAGCAAACAGG